UCGGCGUAUGGCUGGUGCGGGUCGUAGCCGCCGUACUGGGGCUGCGCCUCGGCCUGCUGGGCGGCCCCGUAGAUGCCGUACUGGCCGGUGUCGUCGGGC
rnacentral:tRNA from 1 species